rnacentral:rRNA from 1 species
AGUGAACGCUGGCGGUAGGCCUAACACAUGCAAGUCGAACGGCAGCACAGUAAGAGCUUGCUCUUACGGGUGGCGAGUGGCGGACGGGUGAGGAAUACAUCGGAAUCUACUUUUUCGUGGGGGAUAACGUAGGGAAACUUACGCUAAUACCGCAUACGACCUACGGGUGAAAGCAGGGGAUCUUCGGACCUUGCGCGAUUGAAUGAGCCGAUGUCGGAUUAGCUAGUUGGCGGGGUAAAGGCCCACCAAGGCGACGAUCCGUAGCUGGUCUGAGAGGAUGAUAAGCCACACUGGAACUGCGACACGGUCCAGACUCCUACGGGAGGCAGCAGUGGGGAAUAUUGGACAAUGGGCGCAAGCCUGAUCCAGCCAUACCGCGUGGGUGAAGAAGGCCUUCGGGUUGUAAAGCCCUUUUGUUGGGAAAGAAAAGCAGCAGGUUAAUACCCCGCUGUUCUGACGGUACCAAAAGAAUAAGCACCGGCUAACUUCGUG